GAUGAAUGCUGGCGGCGUGCCUAAUACAUGCAAGUCGAGCGAACGGACGAGAAGCUUGCUUCUCUGAUGUUAGCGGCGGACGGGUGAGUAACACGUGGAUAACCUACCUAUAAGACUGGGAUAACUUCGGGAAACCGGAGCUAAUACCGGAUAAUAUUUUGAACCGCAUGGUUCAAAAGUGAAAGACGGUCUUGCUGUCACUUAUAGAUGGAUCCGCGCUGCAUUAGCUAGUUGGUAAGGUAACGGCUUACCAAGGCAACGAUGCAUAGCCGACCUGAGAGGGUGAUCGGCCACACUGGAACUGAGACACGGUCCAGACUCCUACGGGAGGCAGCAGUAGGGAACCUUCCGCAAUGGGCGAAAGCCUGACGGAGCAACGCCGCGUGAGUGAUGAAGGUCUUCGGAUCGUAAAACUCUGUUAUUAGGGAAGAACAUAUGUGUAAGUAACUGUGCACAUCUUGACGGUACCUAAUCAGAAAGCCACGGCUAACUACGUG
rnacentral:rRNA from 1 species